rnacentral:rRNA from 1 species
CGUCAGUGCUAUGCCUAGGUGGGAUUAGCUAGUUGGUGAGGUAAGGGCUCACCAAGGCGACGAUCCCUAGCUGGUCUGAGAGGAUGAUCAGCCACACUGGAACUGAGACACGGUCCAGACUCCUACGGGAGGCAGCAGUGGGGAAUAUUGCACAAUGGGCGCAAGCCUGAUGCAGCCAUGCCGCGUGUGUGAAGAAGGCCUUCGGGUUGUAAAGCACUUUCAGUCGUGAGGAAGGUAGUGUAGUUAAUAGCUGCAUUAUUUGACGUUAGCGACAGAAGAAGCACCGGCUAACUCCGUGCCAGCAGCCGCGGUAAUACGGAGGGUGCGAGCGUUAAUCGGAAUUACUGGGCGUAAAGCGCAUGCAGGUGGUUUGUUAAGUCAGAUGUGAAAGCCCGGGGCUCAACCUCGGAAUUGCAUUUGAAACUGGCAGACUAGAGUACUGUAGAGGGGGGUAGAAUUUCAGGUGUAGCGGUGAAAUGCGUAGAGAUCUGAAGGAAUACCGGUGGCGAAGGCGGCCCCCUGGACAGAUACUGACACUCAGAUGCGAAAGCGUGGGGAGCAAACAGGAUUAGAUACCCUGGUAGUCCACGCCGUAAACGAUGUCUACUUGGAGGUUGUGGCCUUGAGCCGUGGCUUUCGGAGCUAACGCGUUAAGUAGACCGCCUGGGGAGUACGGUCGCAAGAUUAAAACUCAAAUGAAUUGACGGGGGCCCGCACAAGCGGUGGAGCAUGUGGUUUAAUUCGAUGCAACGCGAAGAACCUUACCUACUCUUGACAUCCAGAGAACUUUCCAGAGAUGGAUUGGUGCCUUCGGGAACUCUGAGACAGGUGCUGCAUGGCUGUCGUCAGCUCGUGUUGUGAAAUGUUGGGGUUAAGUCCCGCAACGAGCGCAACCCUUAUCCUUG